UCCUACAUGGUCUAGUGGUUAGGAUUCCUGGCUUUCACCCAGGCGGCCCCGGUUUCGAUUCCCCGGUGUAGGAA
rfam:Ciona savignyi cont_62207, whole genome shotgun sequence.